rfam:Moorella glycerini strain NMP genome assembly, contig: M_glycerini_NMP_DRAFT_scaffold-32
GGGGGCGUAAUGGUUUCGACGGGGGUGGCAUUGGCAGUAGUAGCCAGGCGAGAUCCCACCGGCUCGUUAAACGGUGGAACGGCUAUAAGUGCCGAAGAUAAUUUAGCUCUGGCUGCUUAAUUUAAAGCAGCCCAUCCGCCUGGUCCCGGCCUGCGGGGACCAGUGCCGGGUGUCAAAGUUAGCAGGCUACCGGCAAGGCCCCGGCCUGGGGGUCUGAAGGGAAUCCCAAUCAGGCUGGCCUGAGGGCAUCCGGUUUCCGGGAGGCCCGAUGGCGAGAAGCAAAACGGAAACUAUCCUGGUAGAAGCUACUGUGGGUGCACCUUCGGACGGGGGUUCGACUCCCCCCGCCUCCACCA